AUUAAAGGAAGUUUUCUUGUGUUUCUAGUCCUGUGGUUAAGUCUCACUGGAGUCUUUGAACCAGUCAUGUGGCAAUGACCAUGGGAUUCUCUGAUCUGACCCUUUCUAGAGCUGGGGAGUUGGUUCUGCCCCAUUCAAACCAUGCUAAGAUCGGAAGGGGGUGGUUAUCUUAAAAUUAAAAAGGAUGUUUUUACCAGAAAAUAAAAGAGAGGAGUAGAUCUUGGGUAGAUUAGAGACCUACAUCCACUUACUGGGUUCACACUUUGAUGUGACUAGUCAACACAAAGUCAAAGUGCAGAAAAGGAACUGAGAAAACGAUACAGAAAACGUGUGGGUUUUACUCAUAACGUUGUGGCAUUCACAGUUUAUCCUCCGGUUUCUUACAGGUUCCCUUCUCUGUGAACUGAACAGCAAUCGCAUAGCUCAGCUUGGCCUCUCAAUAUCAGCAAUAUAACUGGCAUCCCUUACAGAGCCUCUGGAUUUUCUCUUGUUCCCUGUUGUUUUCCGUCCAGUUCUUGGCCAGGCCUCCUCGCACUACCCUGCAGCCUUGCUGAAGGAAUCCUCAUGGGAAACUUUGGAUGUGUCAUACCUUGAUGUCACCAGCCUUUUCCUUUCUUGUUCUCAUGCUGCCUCACUUCUGAGUUUGUUUCUGAGGAGCAGGAGCUGAUGUCCACAGGUCUUGACCCUGAAAGUAUGCAAAGGCUGGAGCUAU